UACGAAGGGGGCUAGCGUUGCUCGGAAUCACUGGGCGUAAAGCGCACGUAGGCGGAUUGUUAAGUCAGGGGUGAAAUCCUGGAGCUCAACUCCAGAACUGCCUUUGAUACUGGCGAUCUCGAGUCCGGGAGAGGUGAGUGGAACUGCGAGUGUAGAGGUGAAAUUCGUAGAUAUUCGCAAAGAACACCAGUGGCGAAGGCGGCUCACUGGCCCGGUACUGACGCUGAGGUGCGAAAGCGUGGGGAGCAAACGGG
rnacentral:rRNA from 1 species